GACGAACGCUGGCGGCGUGCCUAAUACAUGCAAGUCGAGCGAAUCUUCAGAACUUGUUCUAGAAGAUUAGCGGCGGACGGGUGAGUAACACGUGGGCAACCUGCCUGUAAGACUGGGAUAACACCGGGAAACCGGUGCUAAUACCGGAUAAUCCUUUUCCUCUCAUGAGGAAAAGCUGAAAGUCGGUUUCGGCUGACACUUACAGAUGGGCCCGCGGCGCAUUAGCUAGUUGGUGAGGUAACGGCUCACCAAGGCGACGAUGCGUAGCCGACCUGAGAGGGUGAUCGGCCACACUGGGACUGAGACACGGCCCAGAAUCCUACGGGAGGCAGCAGUAGGGAAUCUUCCACAAUGGACGAAAGUCUGAUGGAGCAACGCCGCGUGAGCGAUGAAGGCCUUCGGGUCGUAAAGCUCUGUUGUUAGGGAAGAACAAGUACCGGAGUAACUGCCGGCACCUUGACGGUACCUAACCAGAAAGCCACGGCUAACUACGUGCCAGCCGCCGCAGUAAGAC
rnacentral:rRNA from 1 species